rnacentral:rRNA from 1 species
UGCCUACGGGACGCAGCAGUGGGGAAUAUUGCACAAUGGGGGGAACCCUGAUGCAGCGACGCCGCGUGGGUGAAGAAGUCAUUCGUGACGUAAAGCCCUAUCAGCAGGGAAGAAAAUGACGGUACCUGACUAAGAAGCCCCGGCUAACUACGUGCCAGCAGCCGCGGUAAUACGUAGGGGGCAAGCGUUAUCCGGAUUUACUGGGUGUAAAGGGAGCGUAGACGGUCCUGCAAGCCAGAUGUGAAAGCCCGGGGCUCAACCCCGGGACUGCAUUUGGAACUGUAAGGCUAGAGUGUCGGAGAGGC